AUUGAACGCUGGCGGCAUGCUUUACACAUGCAAGUCGAACGGUAACAGGCCGCAAGGUGCUGACGAGUGGCGAACGGGUGAGUAAUGCAUCGGAACGUGCCCAGUCGUGGGGGAUAACGCAGCGAAAGCUGUGCUAAUACCGCAUACGAUCUAUGGAUGAAAGCGGGGGACCGUAAGGCCUCGCGCGAUUGGAGCGGCCGAUGUAAGACUAGGUAGUUGGGGGGGUAAAGGCCUACCAAGCCGACGAUCUGUAGCUGGUCUGAGAGGACGACCAGCCACAUGGGGACUAGGACACGGCCCGGACUGCUACGGGAGGCAGCAGUGGGGAAGUUUGGACAAUGGGCGCAAGCCUGAUCCAGCAAUGCCGAGUGCAGGAAGAAGGCCUUCGGGUUGUAAACUGCUUUUGUACGGAACGAAACGGUCUGGGUUAAUACCCUGGGCUAAUGACGGUACCGUAAGAAUAAGCACCGGCUAACUACGUGCCAGCAGCCGCCGUAACAC
rnacentral:rRNA from 1 species